rnacentral:piRNA from 1 species
UUUAAUUUUAGCCCUACCCUACCU